AGUGAACGCUGGCGGUAGGCCUAACACAUGCAAGUCGAACGGCAGCACAGUAAGAGCUUGCUCUUACGGGUGGCGAGUGGCGGACGGGUGAGGAAUACAUCGGAAUCUACUUUUUCGUGGGGGAUAACGUAGGGAAACUUACGCUAAUACCGCAUACGACCUACGGGUGAAAGCAGGGGAUCUUCGGACCUUGCGCGAUUGAAUGAGCCGAUGUCGGAUUAGCUAGUUGGCGGGGUAAAGGCCCACCAAGGCGACGAUCCGUAGCUGGUCUGAGAGGAUGAUCAGCCACACUGGAACUGAGACACGGUCCAGACUCCUACGGGAGGCAGCAGUGGGGAAUAUUGGGCAAUGGGCGCAAGCCUGAUCCAACCAUACCGCGUGGGUGAAGAAGGCCUUCGGGUUGUAAAGCCCUUUUGUUGGGAAAGAAAAGCAGCAGGUUAAUACCCCGCUGUUCUGACGGUACCCAAAGAAUAAGCACCGGCUAACUUCGUG
rnacentral:rRNA from 1 species